rnacentral:rRNA from 1 species
UACGUAGGGGGCAAGCGUUGUCCGGAAUCAUUGGGCGUAAAGAGCGUGUAGGCGGCCUUAUAAGUCGGCUGUGAAAGUCAAGGGCUCAACCCUUGAAUGCCGGCCGAUACUGUGAGGCUAGAGUCCGGAAGAGGCGAGUGGAAUUCCUGGUGUAGCGGUGAAAUGCGCAGAUAUCAGGAGGAACACCGAUGGCGAAGGCAGGUCUCUGGGCCACUACUGACGCUGAGAAGCGAAAGCAUGGGGAGCGAACAGG